AAACNCGUUAAGGUGUAUACAUGGGCAGUC
rnacentral:piRNA from 1 species